GACAGAGGGGGCAAGCGUUGCUCGGAAUUACUGGGCGUAAAGGGCGCGUAGGCGGGAUGGCAAGUCGGUCGUGAAAUCCCUCGGCUCAACUGAGGAUCGUCGAUCGAUACUGCCGUUCUUGAGGAUUGCAGAGGAGACUGGAAUUCCCGGUGUAGCGGUGAGAUGUGUAGAGAUCGGGAGGAACACCGGUGGCGAAGGCGGCCCCCUGGGCCGCUCCUGACGCUGAGACGCGAAGGCCAGGGUAGCGAACGGG
rnacentral:rRNA from 1 species